GGUUAGUUGACUGAGUGGUUUAAAGUGUGAUAUUUGAGCUAUCAUUAGUUAUAUUUAACUACGUAGGUUCGAAUCCUACACUAUCCG